ensembl:lncRNA
CAGACAUCGUAUUUCUUUAAAGAUGGGUACACAUCUAACUGUGGGCACGUCCAUUUUACUAAUCUGAAGGGAGAGACUGCUGAAGAUGUAAGUUUCUUGUGGUACUCAAAAGGCUACAGAAUUCUGCCACGCCAUGUAGCUGAGAAGCAGCUGGGGCCUCUCAUCAUCCCCAGGACUGCUGGUCCAAUUCAGCAAAAUGACGAGUGCCAUAACUAACCUGAGAGCAGACACAAAGCUUUUCUAGCCCAGAUAUCAGUGUACUUGAAACCAUCUCACGAAAGAUGGUUUCCUAAAGUUUGAGCUUUCCGAGGUUGUCCCAAGCCUCUCAGUCUUUUUAGAACUUCUAGAAAUCUCCUACUCUUCCAUGGACUUCAUUGAUCAUGACAGGAAAGUGGAGCUGCUUCUUUCCUACCCAGUCCAAACGGAGUCUAGUGAACAAAGCAGGGCUUGGCUGGUGACCGCCUCCCUACUGCUCUGAAUCUCCAGGGUAUUAGGAGCCUCUGAGGUAUGUCUCUAGCACAAUGCCUUAUGGAGGUGUGGACCCCAGAAACGCUGGGAAAAUGUCCUUAGAGGAAAAAACUUCAGAAAAAAAUCACACAUUGAGGGAAGGAGUCUGCAAUCAUAAUUCCAUGUUACGUUAGAAAGACAACAGAAGGAAACUGCCAACGAUACUAUAGAUUCUUGUCAUCAGACCCAUAGACAAUGAUUGUUUAGGGUUCUGAACUUCAAAGCAUUUACUUGAGCAGAGUUGUUAGCAAAAGCCUGUAUAAUACCUCCCAAAUCAAGAUUCUUCAGCUAUCGCUGCAUAACUGCCUUCACUCACUGGGUUCUGGGCAACUCUCACUGUCUUCUUAACUAUAAGGAUGUGACCUCCAUGAAGGACAGCCAUGUUUCUUCUGCUUACCACUGUACUCCACAUGCUUAACAGUCUGAAACACAAUAAGCAUUCAAUAAUUUGUUGAAUAAAUGUUCUACACAUGAAAAUUCAAGUUUAUAAAAUAACAGAAGAGGUGAUUACUAGCUUUGCAAAAAAGAUUUACAAUAAGAUUCCUUUGAAGAGUGAACCAUUGUACAUGUAAGCUGAUUCCAUAUUUUAAAAUUUUAUUUGUACCCAACUUUUCCAGUCAAAUAUUUAUUGUAUGAAAUGACUAAUCCACAUGCCACAAAGCUCUUUCACCUAAAGAUACAUAAAAAAGAGAAAGAAGAAAAGGGGAUGUUUUUCUUUAAAGAAGAAUGACGACUAUUUAUGAAAAAGAAAUGAUACCAUUAAAAAACAAUUUUGCAUAGCCAACAUAACUUAUUCAGGAAGAAUCUUCAAGGGGUACUAAACCAUUAGGUAAAAAAGAUUGGGAACAGGAUGUUCCCAAGGUAUCAAAAUAUCACUCCACAGAUUUCUAGUUGCAAAAGAAAUACUGUAUCUUAACUCUGGAGAGUUCCAGAGAUACUCAAAAUGUAUCUUUAAAAUGGAAAGUUCUGAGGACUUUUAUUAAAAAGUAUUUUUAUAGCAGAAGCUCUGGAGGUGAUUUAAAAAUAAAUAUCUUUAUCAUGGAAAGUUCUAGAAGUGAUCAAAAUUUAUCUUUAAAAUGGAGAGUUUUGGAAAUUAUCAAAUUUAUUAUCACUAAGAGCGGGACAAACUGAUACUAUGUACCUCUUGAUAUGAUGCAAAAGAAAG